rnacentral:rRNA from 1 species
GAUGAACGCUGGCGGCGUGCCUAAUACAUGCAAGUCGAGCGAACGGACGAGAAGCUUGCUUCUCUGAUGUUAGCGGCGGACGGGUGAGUAACACGUGGAUAACCUACCUAUAAGACUGGGAUAACUUCGGGAAACCGGAGCUAAUACCGGAUAAUAUUUUGAACCGCAUGGUUCAAAAGUGAAAGACGGUCUUGCUGUCACUUAUAGAUGGAUCCGCGCUGCAUUAGCUAGUUGGUAAGGUAAUGGCUUACCAAGGCAACGAUGCAUAGCCGACCUGAGAGGGUGAUCGGCCACACUGGAACUGAGACACGGUCCAGACUCCUACGGGAGGCAGCAGUAGGGAAUCUUCCGCAAUGGGCGAAAGCCUGACGGAGCAACGCCGCGUGAGUGAUGAAGGUCUUCGGAUCGUAAAACUCUGCUAUUAGGGAAGAACAUAUGUGUAAGUAACUGUGCACAUCUUGACGGUACCUAAUCAGAAAGCCACGGCUAACUACGUG